CUAACACAUGCAGUCGAGCGGUAGCACAGAGAGCUUGCUCUCGGGUGACGAGCGGCGGACGGGUGAGUAAUGUCUGGGAAACUGCCUGAUGGAGGGGGAUAACUACUGGAAACGGUAGCUAAUACCGCAUAACGUCGCAAGACCAAAGUGGGGGACCUUCGGGCCUCAUGCCAUCAGAUGUGCCCAGAUGGGAUUAGCUAGUAGGUGGGGUAACGGCUCACCUAGGCGACGAUCCCUAGCUGGUCUGAGAGGAUGACCAGCCACACUGGAACUGAGACACGGUCCAGACUCCUACGGGAGGCAGCAGUGGGGAAUAUUGCACAAUGGGCGCAAGCCUGAUGCAGCCAUGCCGCGUGUAUGAAGAAGGCCUUCGGGUUGUAAAGUACUUUCAGCGGGGAGGAAGGCGAUAAGGUUAAUAACCUUGUCGAUUGACGUUACCCGCAGAAGAAGCACCGGCUAACUCCGUGCCAGCAGCCGCGGUAAUACGGAGGGUGCAAGCGUUAAUCGGAAUUACUGGGCGUAAAGCGCACGCAGGCGGUCUGUCAAGUCGGAUGUGAAAUCCCCGGGCUCAACCUGGGAACUGCAUUCGAAACUGGCAGGCUAGAGUCUUGUAGAGGGGGGUAGAAUUCCAGGUGUAGCGGUGAAAUGCGUAGAGAUCUGGAGGAAUACCGGUGGCGAAGGCGGCCCCCUGGACAAAGACUGACGCUCAGGUGCGAAAGCGUGGGGAGCAAACAGGAUUAGAUACCCUGGUAGUCCACGCCGUAAACGAUGUCGAUUUGGAGGUUGUGCCCUUGAGGCGUGGCUUCCGGAGCUAACGCGUUAAAUCGACCGCCUGGGGAGUACGGCCGCAAGGUUAAAACUCAAAUGAAUUGACGGGGGCCCGCACAAGCGGUGGAGCAUGUGGUUUAAUUCGAUGCAACGCGAAGAACCUUACCUGGUCUUGACAUCCACAGAACUUAGCAGAGAUGCUUUGGUGCCUUCGGGAACUGUGAGACAGGUGCUGCAUGGCUGUCGUCAGCUCGUGUUGUGAAAUGUUGGGUUAAGUCCCGCAACGAGCGCAACCCUUAUCCUUUGUUGCCAGCGGUUCGGCCGGGAACUCAAAGGAGACUGCCAGUGAUAAACUGGAGGAAGGUGGGGAUGACGUCAAGUCAUCAUGGCCCUUACGACCAGGGCUACACACGUGCUACAAUGGCAUAUACAAAGAGAAGCGACCUCGCGAGAGCAAGCGGACCUCAUAAAGUAUGUCGUAGUCCGGAUUGGAGUCUGCAACUCGACUCCAUGAAGUCGGAAUCGCUAGUAAUCGUAGAUCAGAAUGCUACGGUGAAUACGUUCCCGGGCCUUGUACACACCGCCCGUCACACCAUGGGAGUGGGUUGCAAAAGAAGUAGGUAGCUUAACCUUCGGGAGGGCGCUUACC
rnacentral:rRNA from 1 species